rnacentral:scRNA from 1 species
UCGUGAACAAUCGUUAAGUACGUAUUUCAUUAGAAAAAUUGGUACCCGCCUGCGGGAUCCGAACACCGGUGCAUCGCUAGAUCACGAAUGCACCGGACGUCUUAUCC